GGUGUAGUGGUUUGAGCACUGGAUUGUGGCUCUGGAGACCAGGGUUUGAAUCCCUGCUCAACCA
rnacentral:tRNA from 1 species